AUGUGGGAGGGAGCUGGUCCGGCUGCGGAGGAGGCAGAGGAGGAAAGAAGGGAGGGAGAGAGGGAGGAGGAAGGGAGGAAGGGGGCGGCGACGCUCAGCGGCGAGCCCCAGGAGGAGGGAAAAGAGGGUGGGGGGGCCGGGCUCCCGUCCCCAUCUCAGCGGGAAAAUGGAGAAAUCGACACAAAGCUUUUGGGGGGAAGGUCAGCUGCUUCCAGGGCCGGUCAAAGACCAGCCCCUGGAAGGGGGAGGGGAGGGGAGGAGAAGGAAUCUGGAAAUUCGCGCUCUGCUGUGAGGUGGUCGCCGCAGCGCGCUCUCGGCGUGGGGGAGAUGGAUGCCCGCUGCCUUCCUCCCUGCGUGGACCGGCUGCGCAGGGCGGACUCCGGCCCCCUCCCUCUCCUUGCCUGGCUGCCUGCUCCCCGCCGGCGGCGGGCGCGCCCGCCCGCCCGCCCUCCUCGCUCCUUCUCCCCGCCUCUCGGAGGAGAUGGCGGGCCCCCUGGGCAGGGGCACCAGGGUUGCUGCUCCGUGCUGCUGCUGCGGAGCGCUGCGCUCGGUGCGCUCCGGCUGGACCUGGGGCUCUCCGCUGGGCUGCGCUCCGACUCGACUCCGGCGGCGGUGCUGAAGGGACAGCUCCGGGACUGUUGCGGAGCUCCGCGGAGCCGGGAAAGGGUUCUCCGGGCUGGGCUCCGUCUGCGGGGCCGGCGGGCACUGACUCCGGUGCCUCUGCGCCCUGCUUGUGGCAGGCUGUUGGCUGUGCCGGCCGAGGCGAGGGGGCCGCGGCGGUCGGACCGGGGAGGCGGGGGUGGCGGGGCCGGGCGCGGCGAGGCAAGGCUGGUGAGGCCGGGGAGGCGAGGCGCGGAGCGGCCGCCGCCGCCGCGACGCCGCUGCUGCCGGGGCUGCUGCUCGGCUAGCUGGCUCGCUUGCUCGCUCGCGCGGUCCGCGUCCAGCCCGCCGCUCUCCGGACACUGGCACACGGCGCGCGCAGCCGCACUCGCCCCCGGAGGGAGGUGCCGCGCUGGGUCCUAA
rnacentral:lncRNA from 1 species